GAAAAGCUCUGUAACUGUUAAAAUUUCAAGCGACCACCGACUAAACCCCCGACUACAAAAACGUCAGCGCUGAAACACUCUUAACCCGGUUCCCCAGUUAAGACGAAAACAUUUCCAGUUGAAGGAAAUUUUUAGGCGACCACCGAACUACCUAGGCCGCAGCAUAUCCAGUACCACUAUCGUUCCACUCUAUCCAUUAGCAACAGACCAACAACUAACUCAUUCGUCUUGGGUAAGUAAAAAGAAGACAGGCAGGACUUGUGCUGCCGGAAUGCCUAAAAAAUGGAAGAAGAUGCCCAAACUAUGGUGCGGCUUCGUCAAAUGGAAGGAGGUGGAAAAGAAGAAUGAACAUAAAGGUUUGUUGUCGUUGUUGUACCCACGAUUGUAGAUAUUUGAAAUGGUGUAAAAAUUCUCCCGAUGAAAAAUGUGAAUUGCAUGACAAUGUUGAAUCUAGUGGCAUUACAAGCGGAGAUAAGCCCGUCGAGGAGUUGUUGCACGUGUUGAAAAUGCUUGCUAAGCUAAUGGAAGAAAAAGACUUGAAGAUUUCCCUCAACAUCAACAUGCACAAGGGAAAAUGAGUUUCCAAAGAUUUUAUCUAAAAUUCGAUGUAUUGGGAUGGUGAUUGGAAGGUUUCUAUUUGGGGAUUUGGAUCUGUUAAUGCUAAUGGAUUAUUUUUGAUGUAAAACUGAAGUCAUUGUAAUCGUUUGUGGUGAUGCAAGUAUUUAUAUGCUAUAAUUGUAGUUUGUGUUAUUUA